GGGCAGCCGGCAGCAAUGCCGGGCCAGGAGACUGGGGUUUGUGUGGGGUGAAGAUGGAGGCUCCACCAUUGUGAUUACUACGGCAUGGACCUCUGGGGCCCAGGGACCCUCGUCACCGUCUCUUCAGUGAGCACGUCAUCUCCAACUCUGUACCCCCUCGUCUCCUGCGAGGGCGCCCUGACCGAUGGGAACCUGGUGGCCAUGGGCUGCCUGGCGCGGGACUUCCUGCCCAGCUCUGUCACCUUCUCCUGGAGCUUCAAGAACAACUCUGAGAUCAGCAGGCAGACCGUCAGGACCUUCCCGGUGGUGAAGACAGGGGACAAGUACAUGGCCACCUCACAGGUGCUGGUGCCCUCCAAGGAUGUCCUCCAGGGCACAGAAGAGUACCUGGUGUGCAAAGUCCAGCACGGCAGCAGCAACAAAGACCUGCACGUGUCCUUUCCCGUGGACUCAGAGCUGCCCCCCAACGUGAGCGUGUUCAUCCCACCUCGAGACUCCUUCAGCGGCUCUGGCACACGCAAGUCCAGGCUCAUCUGCCAGGCCACAGGUUUCAGCCCCAAACAGAUCAGCGUGUCCUGGCUGCGUGAUGGGAAGAAGGUAGAGUCUGGCAUCCUCACCAAGCCGGUGGAGGCUGAAACCAAAGGGGCUGGGCCUGCGACCUUCAGCAUCAGCAGCAUGCUGACGAUCACCGAGAGCGACUGGCUGAGCCAGAACCUGUACACCUGUCGCGUGGACCACAGGGGCAUCUUCUUCGAUAAGAACGUGUCCAUGUCCUCCGAGUGCAGCACGAGCCAGUCCUCAGGCAUCCAGGUCUUCCCCAUCGCCCCUUCGUUCGCCGACACCUUCCUCAGCAAGUCAGCCAGGCUGGUCUGCCUGGUCACAGACCUGACCACCUACGGCAGCCUCAACAUCUCCUGGGCAAACCAUAACGGCAAAGCCCUGGACACCCACAUGAACAUCUCCGAGAGCCACCCCAACGCCACCUUCAGCGCCACGGGCGAGGCCAGCGUGUGCGCGGAGGAUUGGGAGUCUGGGGAGCAGUUCACGUGCACCGUGACCCACGCCGACCUGCCCUUCCCGCUGAAGCACACCAUCUCCAAGUCCAGGGAGGUGGCCAAGCACCCCCCAGCGGUGUACGUGCUGCCGCCAGCCCGGGAGCAGCUGGUCCUGCGAGAGUCGGCCACCGUGACCUGCCUGGUCAAGGGCUUCUCACCUGCAGACGUGUUCGUGCAGUGGCAGCAGAGGGGGCAGCCCUUGUCCUCGGACAAGUACGUGACCAGCGCCCCAGCGCCCGAGCCCCAGGCCCCGGGCCUGUACUUCACCCACAGCACCCUGACCGUGACCGAGGAGGACUGGAACUCCGGGGAGACGUUCACCUGCAUCGUGGGCCACGAGGCCCUGCCACACAUGGUGACCGAGAGGACCGUGGACAAGUCCAGUGAAGGGGAGGUGGGCGCCGAGGAGGAGGGCUUCGAGAACCUGUGGACCACCGCCUCCACCUUCAUCGUCCUGUUCCUGCUGAGCCUCUUCUACAGCACCACGGUCACUCUGUUCAAGGUGAAAUGACCUGAGAAGGAUGUCGGAGGCCAAGAGACAAGCCCGCCGUGGUCCUGCUCGCGUGGCCUGCACUCUGGGGCCUGCGUCUUCCCCAUAUCGCCAGCCAGCUUUGAGCCCUAAAGCACAGGCCUUGUUCCAGACCAGCC